CCCCCAACAAACUCCUAACUACCGAUCCUAAAAGGGUGCAUAAAGGGAUCAGAAGGCCAUCACCACAGCCGGCCACCGCAAGGAUUUGCCGGCGGCUUCUUGCUGCUCUACACCGACCAGUCGCUGGUUGAUGCCGGCCAUCUCUAGUGCCGGUAGCCUUCUGGGCGUCUUCUACCUACUGCUGGCUACGUUCACGCUUUCGGCCAUGGGCCAUUCACUCGGCGCUGUUCCGCUUCGCCAACUAUUCCCGUGUGCUGCAUCGACUAGAGCCUGCAUCAAGAGUAUGGGAUUUCGUCAAGCACCUCAUCUAGCUUGGUGGUUGAUGGAUGCUCCACCGUGAUCAGAUCACAUCAGAUGGCCUACUGAUUUUUAUAUCAUGCCCCCCUUUUCCGGUUGUUGAACAAAGCAGAGCGGGGCCAGGCGAACAACCAGUGCAGUACAAUCUAGCUUAAUUUCCGCCGACCGGCCGUGGAUGGUUUCAUGUCUAAUCAUACGUACGUACUCCGCAGCUGCAUCUGUAGUUGAUCGCCUUCCACUCAGUGUAUCAUCGUGGAUCUCCCAACCAGGCUGCACUUGUCCCUAUACUCGCACAAUUGUAUAGAGUAUUAGAAAACGAUUAUAUAAUUGUAUCUUCUAUUUUUGGUGGGGUGUGACUCGAGAAUUAUUUUUCUUUACGAGAAGCUAGCUACCAUUUCACCAUUGAGGUGGAUGGCUCCACACACGUACCAUACAUAAGCUUAAUCUUUUCGGAAAAAGAAACUAUGCAAAACCUUCUCCUGCAUCUUUAUGUAAACUUGAACCUCCAACAAGGAAUACACAGUACAGAUGCACACUCA